rnacentral:rRNA from 1 species
UACGAAGGGGACUAGCGUUGUUCGGAAUUACUGGGCGUAAAGCGCACGUAGGCGGAUCUUUAAGUCAGGGGUGAAAUCCCGAGGCUCAACCUCGGAACUGCCUUUGAUACUGGGGAUCUCGAGUCCGGGAGAGGUGAGUGGAACUGCGAGUGUAGAGGUGAAAUUCGUAGAUAUUCGCAAGAACACCAGUGGCGAAGGCGGCUCACUGGCCCGGAACUGACGCUGAGGUGCGAAAGCGUGGGGAGCAAACAGG